rnacentral:lncRNA from 1 species
AUAGUUUCCACAAAAAGCAACUUAAUCAACUGAGGCAGGAUGCUUGAGGGCUUGGCAACAUGGGUACUCAACAAUUAUCUGGGAAAGUACCUGGAAAAUUUACACACAGACCAGCUCUCAAUUGGUCUAUUGACGGGGGAAGUGGAACUGGAGAAUGUACCACUACGGAAAGAUGCACUGCGGCACCUGGAUAUGCCAGUUGAGGUCCGGGCUGGAUUUGUUGGGAAAGUUAAACUUCAAAUUCCAGUUUCACGAUUACGUUCAGAACCAUGGGUCAUUAUGUUUGAUCAGCUCUACCUUGUGGCAGGACCUGUAAAACUUGAAGAGGUAUGUCUAUGAGUGCUUCAUUCCUUGCCAGUGUAGUGAUAGUGAGGUGAAGUGAUACAGUAAACUUCAAGGUAAAUACAGUAGGAAGAAGUAGAUAAUUAAUUUGGAGUACAAUAAUGAUAAAGAUUUCAUGCCAAAUGAAAAAAGAUAUAAUACCUCUUAUAAUGGACGAGAUACAUUCUUGAGGUUUGCUAAGCAAAAUACAAUAUCUGUUAAAAGAGGCCACUAUACUGUAAUGUACUUAUGGAGGUGUGUUUUUGCAAAUAGCAAAAUUUGUCAAAAUAAAUAAAUCCCUCUAAUUACUACUAUUUUAUUGCAGAAUGGCUAAAUAAGGAUUAAAUGUUGCAAAAUAGGUUUUAAACAUUAGAAAAAAGUUGCCGUUGCUUAGAAUUACAAGUACACUUGAUUUUCUACUGCCGUCUCCAUACAAAAAUGUAAACAUUAAGUGGCAAGCAAACAACUCCAGUGCAACAAUAAUAAAACAAGUAAAAUGGCUGUUGCGGGGUGACAAUGCUUAACUUUUAUACAUGUAUUCAAAUGAAGACUUUGUUAACAUCAAUGAUAAUGGAACUAAAUUUAAUAACACUCACCAGUUAAUUUUUUUGGAGCUUGCUGUUAUCGAGUAUGGUUUAAACCUGGGUUGUCAAAUAUGUGGCCUGGCGCCCUCUUACAUGUGGCCCGCGGCCCACGGCCCACUGGCUGCUCCAGCUGCACCUUGAGCAGCUAAGAGCCUAAGACACUAGCAUUUGAAGUGAGACUAUCUGUAUUGGAUAAUGCUGUUUUAUUCUAUUGAAUCUAUCGCUUCUAUUGAGUCUGUUCAAAGGCAAGUGCUUUUAGGAUGUUUUGUGAAUCUCACUCCAUUACGUAUCUGGUGUUAGACUGACGGCCUGCUAAAUGUGUUGUUAGCCCAUUUGACUAGUGGGGGUUUCCCUCAGCUGAAUAAAAUUGUCUGGUGUUUGCUAGAAUAAAAUACUCAGUGCAACAGCACCAAUGAAAGAGCAAUAUGAGAUAGUUUUAAUGGUUAAUUGUGGUUCUAAGCAUGCCACUGUACAAGUUGUGAGAUGGGCUGACCACUGGCUGUCUACUGGUAUUAGACGUGAUAGCUCUGAUACGGCUGACUCUCACUUGGGCAGUCACACGGGUACUAGUCCUGCAUAGUCGCUCAAGGCAGUUGGAGCGUUGCAUACAUCGGAAGCAGUAUCCAUUGUGUUUACUUUUGAGCCCAUAGUCAUGUUAUCAAAGAAAAGAACAAUUAAUGACAAGCGUCAGUUGGUACAGGAAAAGUGGAAUAUCUUGUACUUUUUUGUUGAAAUGAAUGGAAAACCGACAUGUUUGAUUUGUAAGCAACUUGUAGCUGUUGCCAAAGAUUACAAUGUUUGAAGGCAUUAUGAUCCUAACCAUGCUCAGAAGUAUAAUAAAUAUAGUGGCAAGUUACACGAAGACAAAGUUAAAGAGUUAUAACAGUCACUGAAAAAGCAGCAGUCAGUAUUUAAGAGUGUUCAUCAAGUCAGUGUUGCUGCAGUUAAGUCAAGUUACAGGAUUACCCAUAAAAUAGCUGUGUCAUUGAAGCCUUGAAAAAUGUCAAACAUUUGCAAAUGUUAGCCUUUCAAGAAAUACAGCUGCAGAGAGAAUUAAUGAAUUAUCAAAGAAUAUUAACAGUCAACUUAAAGGCAAAGUCCUUUACUGCAUUUUCUGUUGCAAUUGAUGAAAGUACAUUACCAAUAUAACUGAUAUGGCACAA